AUGAAUAGUGUGGUAAAUAGGACUGGAUAACAGGUGAAGACUCUCACACCAGAGUAAGAAUGGCUUAAGAAUGGCAUGUCUGGUGAAUGAUUUUCUCCCAAAAGUUGGCCAUCUAGAGGAUAACGAUCAAACAUCACCACAGAAUCCAGCAGUAUUGAUGAUUCUCACUUGUAUGUAUGAUCAAGUAUCUUACCGUAAACAUUCUUACCAACAUAUCAGCCUCAACCCUGGGUGCAUCCUUCAUUUUGGAUAUGACUGUUAGUGCAUGCAGAGUGCUGAAGUUAAGACACUGGAUGUUCAACUACCUGGCAGAAGACACUGGAGCAGGGAAAUCAGGGGCAAAGUUUAACUUCCUGUUGAAAAUGUGCCUGUUAAAAACAGAAUCCUGUGACAAAACUAUGGAUGAGCAAUUUCCGAAGAGACAUCCAGGGAAUCUUACGGGGUGUGGAGAAGAAAUCUGUGCUUUAGAAUGAUCCGGAUAAAGGAAGAGUCUCUUCAGAAUAUCUUUCUGCAAAAUCUAUCUGCUGGGCCACCGAAAAGUCAACCUCGAUGAAUUUGCUGGAAAGAAUAAUUUUCCUAGAAUGUUUUUUUGCAGUAGGAGGAGCUUGCU
ensembl:lncRNA